rnacentral:lncRNA from 1 species
AUGGAGUGAAGUAUCAAGCAAAGUAUUGAUGUGAAAUAAAUAAAGACAUGAUGUGAAAUAUCAAGCAAAGUAUUGAUGUGAAAUAUGGUGUGAAGUAAAGUAUUGAUGUGUAUUAUGGUGUGAAGUAAAGUAUGUAUAAUAAGUGUGAAGAAAGGAAUAUGCCAUGUAAUAUUCCUUAUGUUAUGCACUAUAAAUAAGGAGCUUGGUGAGGCUUGUUCACGAUAAGCUGAAGUAUCUAAAAUCCUAAGUCCUAAAGAGUCCUUUGUAUUCUCUUGAGUGUGUUUUUAUAAUAAAGCUUUCUCUUAUAUAUAUAUAUACUCUCUUCCA